UACGAAGGGGGCUAGCGUUGCUCGGAAUUACUGGGCGUAAAGCGCACGUAGGUGGAUAUUUAAGUCGGAUGUGAAAGCCCAGGGCUCAACCUUGGAAGUGCAUCCGAAACUGCGGAGCUCGAAUCCCGGAGAGGGUGGUGGAAUUCCCAGUGUAGAGGUGAAAUUCGUAGAUAUUGGGAGGAACACCGGUGGCGAAGGCGACCACCUGGACGGAGAUUGACGCUGAGGCGCGAAAGCGUGGGGAGCAAACAGG
rnacentral:rRNA from 1 species